rnacentral:misc_RNA from 1 species
ACACCUCAACUCUCAUGGUUUGCCAUGAUGAGCUUGGACUUUGGGGGUCUUGCUGGUCUAUGGUCAGCUCCUCUCAAAUGGAUCAGCUUGCCAGUGUUUGGUGGCAUCGCAGGUGUGAUAACUAUCUACGCUUGUGGUUUCCUACCAGAUAACCUUCAGCAAUGGAGGUUCGCUGGAGCUCAUAAAUGUCUCUCCUCAGUGAAGACAGCUUUUUGAAC